AAGAGCUUGCUCUUUGGGUGGCGAGUGGCGGACGGGUGAGUAAUGUCUGGGAAACUGCCCGAUGGAGGGGGAUAACUACUGGAAACGGUAGCUAAUACCGCAUAACGUCGCAAGACCAAAGUGGGGGACCUUCGGGCCUCACACCAUCGGAUGUGCCCAGAUGGGAUUAGCUAGUAGGUGGGGUAAUGGCUCACCUAGGCGACGAUCCCUAGCUGGUCUGAGAGGAUGACCAGGCACACUGGAACUGAAACACGGUCCAGACUCCUACGGGAGGCAGCAGUGGGGAAUAUUGCACAAUGGGCGCAAGCCUGAUGCAGCCAUGCCGCGUGGAUGAAGAAGGCCUUCGGGUUGUAAAGUACUUUCAGCGGGGAGGAAGGCGGUGAGGUUAAUAACCUCGCCGAUUGACGUUACCCGCAGAACAAGCACCGGCUAACUCCGUGCCAGCAGCCGCGGUAAUACGUGAGGGUGCACGCGUUAAUCGGAAUUACUGCGCGUGAAGCGCACGCAGGCGCGUCUGUUAAGUCAGAUGUGAAAUCCCCGGGCUUAACCUGGGAACUGCAUUUGAAACUGGCAAGCUUGAGUCUCGUAGAGGGGGGGUAGAAUUCCGGGGUGUAGCCGCUGAAUAUGCGUAGAGAUCUGGGAGGAAUACCGGUGGCGUA
rnacentral:rRNA from 1 species